UACGAAGGGGGCUAGCGUUGUUCGGAAUCACUGGGCGUAAAGGGCGCGUAGGCGGCCGAUCAAGUCGGGGGUGAAAGCCUGUGGCUCAACCACAGAAUUGCCCUCGAUACUGUUUGGCUUGAGACCGGAAGAGGUUAGUGGAACUGCGAGUGUAGAGGUGAAAUUCGUAGAUAUUCGCAAGAACACCAGUGGCGAAGGCGGCUGACUGGUCCGGUUCUGACGCUGAGGCGCGAAAGCGUGGGGAGCAAACAGG
rnacentral:rRNA from 1 species